CUUCACCAGCAUCAUUCUCACCUUCUCAUCAUUCCCUCCUCUCCACUUCUACAUCCUCACCAUCACAAAGAAACUUGAUUCUAGAUUCCUCUCCUCGACCCAAACCGUAACCACCUCCACCAUUUUCCACUCCUCUCCUUUUGAUCACACCCGUAACAACCCCAACAAACAUCCCCAAUCUUACACCUCACGUCCAGUAACAUCCAUUAUCCACCUCACCCUCUCCUCUAAUUUCUCCAUUCACGCAGCAAAAAUCAAUUUCAUUCACUCAACUCAUUCACUCAUACACUCACAGCUUCUACCAAUAUCCAUUCUAUCAUAGUCAUCUUCAUCAAAUAAUCUUCAGUCCCAAUCCUCCUUCUUGGCUGUUUUCGCUGCAUUAAAACCCAGACAGAGAACAAAAAAAAACAGAGAAACUCACACCAUCACCUUCAACCUACACUGUACAAAGCCACAAGAAAAAAGCAACCCCCAAUAAUAUAGAACCAAUUCCCAACACACAAUCACGGAACCAACAACCAAGAACAAAGAGUCUGCAAAUUUUUUCCAGCCCCAUUCAUGGUUCUAGCCUUUCCCAUCAUUACCGAACCACACUCAUUGCACCCCAAAUCUGAAAUCAAAGAAAUAGUAAAAAAAAAAAGGGGGAGGUUCGCGUGGUGAUUGUUGCGGCUGCGACGACUAGAGUUUGUGUUGAAUUCCGGGGUGUGGUGGUUACUCAGUGGUUGGCCGACGAAGGUUUAUUGUUCCCAUGACGGCGGCUCGCGAUGGCAUUGGUGGUGCGAUGGUUGUCGAAGGGGAGCGGCGGCACGCNUAGUUAAUGGCGACGCUGUUGAUGUGGUCGCCGNCGACGUUUUCCUGUGACGGUGGCUCGCAGUUGCAGAUGGAGGCAUGGAGGCGCAUCGAACAGAGAAGGGGAACUGGCGAGGUCGCCGCAGCCUGCGGUGGCUGACCGGGUGGUAGCAAUGGUCGCCGGCGACGCAGCGGACCAAGUUGGUCGAACGACGACUCCGGUGGCCGGCAAUGGCCCCAGUUGCAAGCAGCGGCGUCGGCGAGGAUUUGGGUGGCUUGUGGCAGUCGGUACAGUGGUGGUCGGUUGGGCGAAGUUGCGUUUCUGCUUCCCUCGUUCAGAGAAGAAGACGGCUCUGGGACGUGGUGAUGCUUAUGCAAAUGAGAAGAAAUUGGAGAAACCCCUAUCAGCUAGGGUUAAGUGGCUUUGGGCCUGGGCCGCGAUAUAUCUUCUUGCCACCCCCCAACGCUGUUCACACCCCAUUUCCUAGCUGCAAACAAAAAAUGACCUUGGAUCUGACCA
rnacentral:lncRNA from 1 species